GUGGGGUUGUGGCUCAGUGGUAGAGCGCUUGCCUAGCACGUGUGAGGUGCUGGGUUUGAUCCUCAGCACCACA
rnacentral:tRNA from 1 species